UUUUUCUUAUGAAGUCAUUAGGUUUUUACCUCCUCACACACCAUUUUUAAUUGUAUUCUCCCGUAAGGAUGUAUUAAGAUAAAAUGAAAGAAGAGGGCCCUCAAACAUUUAUUCAGGACUUUCGUCCAGGCAUGAAGAGGAUCAAUUGCAGAAUGAUUGUUUUAGAAAAAACUGAGUUGGCACCCACUCGCUCUGGAAGACUAUUUCAGUUUUUAGUUGCAGACAACUCAGCUUCUAUAUUUUUUUCAGUUUUUGAUGAACUCGGAGAGGCUAUUGAAACUGGGGAUAUUUUAUCUCUCCA